GACGAACGCUGGCGGCGUGCCUAAUACAUGCAAGUAGAACGCUGAAGGAGGAGCUUGCUUCUCUGGAUGAGUUGCGAACGGGUGAGUAACGCGUAGGUAACCUGCCCGGUAGCGGGGGAUAACUAUUGGAAACGAUAGCUAAUACCGCAUAAGAGUAGAUGUCGCAUGACAUUUGCUUAAAAGGUGCAAUUGCAUCACUACCAGAUGGACCUGCGUUGUAUUAGCUAGUUGGUGAGGUAACGGCUCACCAAGGCAACGAUACAUAGCCGACCUGAGAGGGUGAUCGGCCACACUGGGACUGAGACACGGCCCAGACUCCUACGGGAGGCAGCAGUAGGGAAUCUUCGGCAAUGGGCGGAAGUCUGACCGAGCAACGCCGCGUGAGUGAAGAAGGUUUUCGGAUCGUAAAGCUCUGUUGUAAGAGAAGAACGAGUGUGAGAGUGGAAAGUUCACACUGUGACGGUAUCUUACCAGAAAGGGACGGCUAACUACGUG
rnacentral:rRNA from 1 species